rnacentral:piRNA from 1 species
UUCCUUCACAUCAUCAUUUAA